AUGUAUAUGCCUACAACAUAGUGUUAAUGCACCAAAUCCCAUUAGAACUCCACAGUUAAGCUUGUUCAGGCUAGAGUAGUACUAGGAUGGGUGACCGCCCGAGAAGUACUAGUAUUUUACAUG
rfam:Picea glauca, whole genome shotgun sequence.